GACGAACGCUGGCGGCGUGCUUAACACAUGCAAGUCGAACGGAAAGGCCCUGCUUUUGUGGGGUGCUCGAGUGGCGAACGGGUGAGUAACACGUGAGUAACCUGCCCUUGACUUUGGGAUAACUUCAGGAAACUGGGGCUAAUACCGGAUAGGAGCUCCUGCUGCAUGGUGGGGGUUGGAACGUUUCGGCGGUUGGGGAUGGACUCGCGGCUUAUCAGCUUGUUGGUGGGGUAGUGGCUUACCAAGGCUUUGACGGAUAGCCGGCCUGAGAGGGUGACCGGCGACAUGGGGACUGAGGGACGGACCAGAGGGCUACGGGAGGCAGCAGGGGGGAAUAUGGCACAAUGGGCGGAAGCCUGAGGAAGAAACGCCGGGUGCGGGAUGACGGCCUUCGGGUUGUAAACCGCUUUCGCCUGUGACGAAGCGGGAGUGACGGUAAUGGGUAAAGAAGCACCGGCUAACUACGUG
rnacentral:rRNA from 1 species